rnacentral:tRNA from 1 species
GCAGGGGUGGCAGAGUGGACAAAUGCACCGGGCUGUAAACCCGGCGGGCUUUGGCCCUUCGGAGGUUCGAAUCCUUCCCCCUGCACCA